rnacentral:rRNA from 1 species
UACGUAGGGGGCAAGCGUUGUCCGGAAUCAUUGGGCGUAAAGCGCGUGUAGGCGGUUCGAUCAGUCUGCUGUGAAAGUCCGGGGCUCAACCCCGGAAAGCCGGUGGAUACUGUCGAGCUAGAGUGCGGAAGAGGCGAGUGGAAUUCCUGGUGUAGCGGUGAAAUGCGCAGAUAUCAGGAGGAACACCAAUUGCGAAGGCAGCUCGCUGGGACGUUACUGACGCUGAGACGCGAAAGCGUGGGGAGCAAACAGG